AACGAACGCUGGCGGCAGGCUUAACACAUGCAAGUCGAACGCCCCGCAAGGGGAGUGGCAGACGGGUGAGUAACACGUGGGAGCGUGCCCUAAGGUUUGGAAUAUUCCCGGGAAACUGGGAGCAAUACCAAAUGUGUCCGCAAGGAGAAAGAUUUAUCGCCUUAGGAUCGGCCCGCGUCAGAUUAGGUAGUUGGUGGGGUAAAAGCCUACCAAGCCGACGAUCUGUAGCUGGUCUGAGAGGACAACCAGCCACACUGGGACUGAGACACGGCCCAGGCUCCUACGGGAGGCAGCAGUGGGGAAUCUUGGACAAUGGGCGAAAGCCUGAUCCAGCCAUGCCGCGUGGAUGAUGAAGGCCCUAGGGUUGUAAAAUCCUUUCGUUGGGGACGAUAAUGACGGUACCCAAAGAAGAAGCUCCGGCUAACUUCGUGCCAGCAGCCGCCGCGGUAA
rnacentral:rRNA from 1 species